GACGAACGCUGGCGGCGUGCUUAACACAUGCAAGUCGAACGAAGUGGCGAACGGGUGAGUAACGCGUAAUCAAACUGCCCUUCAGAGGGGGACAACAGUAGGAAACGACUGCUAAUACCGCAUACGGAAGGCGGGGAUUGCGUCUGAUUAGCUAGUUGGAGGGGGAACGGGCCACCAAGGCGAUGAUCCGUAGCCGGUCUGGAGUGAUGAAUGGCCACAUCGGGACUGAGACACGGCCCAGACUCCUACGGGAGGCAGCAGUGGGGAAUCUUCCGCAAUUGACGAAAGUCCGACGGAGCAACGCCGCGUGAGUGAUGACGGCCUUCGGGUUGUAAAGCUCUGUUAAUCGGGACGCGGUACCGGAAUAGAAAGCCACGGCUAACUACGUGCCAGCCGCCGCGGUAAUUC
rnacentral:rRNA from 1 species